rnacentral:misc_RNA from 1 species
GAUGGUCACUUUCAAAACAUACCUGUUAAAAAGAGAAUGACACACUGUUGUGACACGAGUAGUCUAUUACAGCAUCGUAUUUACCUUUUCCAUCUCAAAAGACUUCAUUAUUCUAGAAUUUCAAAAUAAGCACUGUGUAAAUGGCUAAAGAUUCCUAUUUUUAUUUGGGCACUCUUAUCAGUGAUCCCCUUUUGCUGUAUUGAUCUUUAUGAGUUGCAAUGUACAGGAUGCUAAGAAACAGAGUGGUAGUAGAGAUAGAUUUCCUUCCAGUAUGUCAUUACAACCGAUGCCAAUGCACAAUAGAAGGAACUAGUAGGGACCAAACCUUAGAGAUGACACAUUAUCGAUUAAGCAACAGAACGGAUUGAAGAUAUUUUCAAUUCAAUUUCUAAAUUCUUACAA